CCUACAGGUGUUCUAGAACAUUGAUGUUUUGUAGAUGUGUACGGUUGGGCUUACAUUUUCUUUGCAGAUGCUUGCUUAAAAAGGAAAUUUUUCCAAUAGUUAAAUUACAAAGAAGGAGAAUUUGGGGUAGGCAAAGAACACCAGACAUGCAUACGUGCGUUUUGGGCUUUGUUGAGGCUCUAUAAUUAAAAAUUGGAAUAUGAAUUGAGGGCAGCUGUAGUCUGUCUAGGUUAAGACUACAUACAUAGGACAUUGUGUUUCCCAAGAGAACAAAUGACACUAGUUUAAUUUGGCUCUUGCAUAUACAAGCUACAUUUACGACCUUUGAUUACACCACAGUAGACUAUUAGCUAAAACGGACUGUUGGUUGUGUAGGACAGAUACCGAGUGGUGAACAAUUGUAAUUACACAAAUGCGACAAUAGUUUUGGAGUGAAUGAGUUUAUGAGAUAAAUUGACCCGGCACUCAAGGAGUCCAACAAAUAGCUUCACAUCCAAGAGGGAAUUAGGCGGCCAAAGGAG